rnacentral:rRNA from 1 species
AACGAACGCUGGCGGCAGGCUUAACACAUGCAAGUCGAACGCCGUAGCAAUACGGAGUGGCAGACGGGUGAGUAACGCGUGGGAACCUACCCUUGGGUGUGGAAUAACUCGGGGAAACUCGAGCUAAUACCGCAUAUUCCGGUAACGGGAAAGAUUUAUCGCCCAAGGAUGGGCCCGCGUCAGAUUAGCUAGUUGGUGGGGUGACAGCCUACCAAGGGUACGAUCUGUAGCUGGUCUGAGAGGAUGAUCAGCCACACAGGGACUGGGACACGGCCCAGAUUCCUACAGGAGGCAGCAGUGGGAAAUCUUGGACAAUGGGCGCAAGCCUGAUCCAACCAUGCCGCGUGAGUGAUGAAGGCCUUAGGGUUGUAAAGCUCUUUCGCCCACGACGAUGAUGACGGUAGUGGGAGAAGAAGCCCCGGCUAACUUCGUGCCAGCCGCCGCAGUAACAC